CUCCGGUUGAUCCCGCCGGACCUGACUGCUAUCGGAUUGGUACUAAGCCAUGCGAGUCGUUGUAGCAAUACAAGGCGGACGGCUCAGUAACACGUAGUCAACCUAACCUAUGGACGUGGAUAACCUCGGGAAACUGAGAAUAAACCGCGAUAGAUCAUUAUGCCUGGAAUGGCUUAUGGUUCAAACAAUUUAUUGCCGUAGGAUGGGACUGCGGCCUAUCAGCUUGUUGGUGAGGUAAUGGCCCACCAAGGCUAUAACAGGUACGGGCUCUGAGAGGAGAAGCCCGGAGAUGGGUACUGAGACACGGACCCAGGCCCUAUGGGGCGCAGCAGGCGAGAAACCUUAGCAAUGUGCGAAAGCACGACUAGGUUAAUCCGAGUGAUUUCUGUUGAAGAAAUCUUUUGUCAGUCGUAAAACCACAGACGAAUAAGGGGUGGGCAAGUCUGGUGUCAGCCGCCGCGGUAAUACCAGCACCUCGAGUGGUCAGGAGGUUUAUUGGGCCUAAAGCAUCCGUAGCCGGCUACGCAAGUCUCCGGUUAAAUCCAGCUGCUCAACAGAUGGGCUGCCGGAGAUACUACAUAGCUAGGGAGCGGGAGAGGUAGACGGUAUUCUGUGGGUAGGGGUAAAAUCCACUGAUCCAUAGAGGACCACCAGUGGCGAAGGCGGUCUACCAGAACGCGUUCGACGGUGAGGGAUGAAAGCUGGGGGAGCAAACCGGAUUAGAUACCCGGGUAGUCCCAGCUGUAAACGAUGCAAACUCGGUGAUGCAUUGGCUUAUGGCCAAUGCAGUGCCGCAGGGAAGCCGUUAAGUUUGCCGCCUGGGAAGUACGGACGCAAGUCUGAAACUUAAAGGAAUUGGCGGGGGACACA
rnacentral:rRNA from 1 species